rnacentral:rRNA from 1 species
AGCGAACGCUGGCGGCGUGCUUAACACAUGCAAGUCGAGUGCGUAGCCCUUUGUAGCAAUACAGAGGGUGGGCGCACGGCGCACGGGUGAGUAACACGUGGGUAACCUGCCCUUCGGUGGGGAAUAACCCGCCGAAAGCGGGGCGUAAUUCCGCAUAACAUUCCGGGGACGACAUGUUCUCGGACUCAAAGGAGUGAUUCGCCGGAGGAGGGCCCGCGCCGAUUAGCUUGUUGGUAGGGUAACGGCCACCAAGGCUUUGAUCGGUAGCCGGUCUGAGAGGAUGGCCGGCCACACUGGAACUGAGACACGGUCCAGACUCCUACGGGAGGGCAGCAGUGGGGAAUCUUGCGCAAUGGGCGAAAGCCUGACGCAGCGACGCCGCGUGGGGA